CCUACGGGGGGCUGCAGUGGGGAAUAUUGGGCAAUGGGCGCAAGCCUGACCCAGCAACGCCGCGUGAAGGAAGAAGGCUUUCGGGUUGUAAACUUCUUUUCUCAGGGACGCAGAAAGUGACGGUACCUGAGGAAUAAGCCACGGCUAACUACGUGCCAGCAGCCGCGGUAAUACGUAGGUGGCAAGCGUUAUCCGGAUUUACUGGGUGUAAAGGGCGUGUAGGCGGGAAAGCAAGUCAGAUGUGAAAACCAUGGGCUCAACCUGUGGCCUGCAUUUGAAACUGUUUUUCUUGAGUACUGGAGAGGCAGACGGAAUUCCUCGUGUAGCGGUGAAAUGCGUAGAGAUGAGGAGGAACACCAGUGGCGAAGGCGGUCUGCUGGACAGCAACUGACGCUGAGGCGCGAAAGCGUGGGGAGCAAACAGGAUUAGAUACCCUGGUAGUC
rnacentral:rRNA from 1 species